CUAUAUAUGGAUUGGACAGGUUUCCCGCCUACCAGGCGGGAAUCAAAAGGGAAGUCCGGUGAGAAUCCGGCGCGGUCCCGCCACUGUCAACGGGGAGCGCCCUACCCAUACCGCCACUGACGAAUGCCGUCGGGAAGGCCGCGGAGGGGCGCAAUGAACCUGGAGCCAGGAGACCUGCCUGUCUGAAAGACACCGC
rfam:Paenibacillus sp. HGF7 contig00032, whole genome shotgun sequence.